GCUAGCUGUCAUUCUGGGUCCUGGGGUUUUCUUCCCUUCAGAGCGUCCAGACACCAGUGCGUAUAGUACAGGUGCUGCACUGGAAGGAAUGAAGCCUAGCCAGGCAGCUCUGAGAUGGGCUUACAGCUGCUACCCACCUCCGCUCUGAAGGCCUCAAGGCCGUGACUUCCCACCUGAUGUUGGAGCAACCCGUUGCCAUCCAUGUGGGCCUGGACCUUCUUCCAGAGAAGCCCACCAGGCCUCCACCUGGGUUCCUCCAGCCAGACUUCCACUUUUCUGCUCCUAAUCUCUAGUAGGCCUAUCUUCAUCUACCCAGCGGCCAUGAAGGGAAGGAGGAGACAAAAAAAAAGGAUCACCGACAUGGAUUCUACGAGUGACCAUGUAACCGUGGCAGACACAUUAAAGGCUCAACAAGCCUCGGAACCGUCUUAUUCAACACCGCAUCGCGUCACUUGUGUUUGGAAUGCUCAGGGGAAACACCAUCAGGCAGUGAGUAAAAGUCCACGCUGUGACCAAAACUGACGGCACAGAUGUCACAAACGCUAGCGCUAUCUCAGGGUCACCGUCUCCGGCUUCCAGGCUCAAGGUCCCCUCUCACACCCCCCCACAAGUUGUUAAAUAGCAUCCGCUUGUCCCAUAACGUUGGCCUGCCUGGCUCCCACUUCCUGGUACACACAGUUCAGCCCUCUGAAGCUGCCAGUGACCUUGAGGACACAGAGAACUGUUAGCAGAAAUAGCUAACCAUCUGAGGAAGCAAAACCUCUCUCCCUCACACACACACCCUCACAGUCUGCGGAGGGUUCGUCAUUCCUAAAGUCUGAGGAGUUGAGAAAGGCCCACACACAGCCAGGGGCCAGUAGCUCUCCCAAGGGAACAGGGCUGUGCCUGUGACUACAGGAAGGUUCUUUGGCUGAGCUCAGAGCCUGCUGACCACGGCCAUUUAACACCUGCGGGCCGAGCUUCCAUUUCCCGUCAGCUGGAUCACUUAGGAUGUUGCCAGCGUGGUGAACAGAACAGAAAGUGGUUCCCACAGUGCGGAAGUUCAUUAUGAAACAGAGCACUGUGUUUGGGGGAAGAGAGUUGCAGAACUGAAUCCGGUCCUACGACAUACAGAUGAUUUGGCUUGCUCUCUCUGGCCUAUCUGGACUUUCCCUUCCUAGCAACAAGAUGACCCCGCUAAACCGAAGACCACAAGAGGUCACUGAAGACAGGAAGCUCCAGUGCUUCCCACGGCGAACUUGUCCUCUUUCAUUC